AUUCUCAGUUCGGAUUGUAGGCUGAAACUCGCCUACAUGAAGCUGGAGUUACUAGUAAUCGCAGAUCAGAAUGCUGCGGUGAAUGCGUUUCCGGGUCUUGUACACACCGCCCGUCACACCACGGAAGUUGGGGGCGCCCGAAGCCACUUAGCUAACCCUUUUGGGAAGCGAGUGUCGAAGGUGAAAUCAAUAACUGGGGUGAAGUCGUAACAAGGUAGC
rnacentral:rRNA from 1 species